UACGUAGGGUCCGAGCGUUGUCCGGAGUUACUGGGCGUAAAGCGCGCGCAGGUGGUUCCCUAAGCCCGGCGUGAAAGCCCCCGGCUCAACCGGGGAGGGUCGGUCGGGGACUGGUGAACUUGAGGGCGGCAGGGGCUGGUGGAAUCCCCGGUGUAGUGGUGAAAUGCGUAGAGAUCGGGGGGAACACCCGGUGGCGAAGGCGGCCAGCUGGGCCGACCCUGACACUGAG
rnacentral:rRNA from 1 species